UGACUGGAUCUUCUGAGAACAUCAGAGAAGGACUGCCCUUGCCAUCCACAUGACAGCAAAACUUUAAAACCUUAAACUUUGGGUUCAUAGUCUCACAACUCAGAAAGGUCCUUCCACACUUGGAACCAUAUACCCAUUGGAACCCUUAAGGUAAAGCUAACAAGGACAGUUCCCCCCAGAAGAAGAUGGCAUCCUUAAUGUGAACAGCUUUUCCCACGAUCACAGAUCAAGACUUCUCUACUAUCAUGAGACACUUAUCUUAAGUAUCUGUGCAGCUGCUAACACUUACAGCAUGUGGAGAAAACAUGGGGUAUUAUAAAAAUUUGGUUGUAGGGAAUUAACAAAAAAACCC
rnacentral:lncRNA from 1 species